GUCUCCUCCGUGAUUGUACAAAGAACCAGGCAGAGAUCCUGGAAGGUCAUGAGGAUGGGAAGUGAGUCCGCGGGGGUCGUGUCUCCCCCCGGGGUGCGUGGGGCUCAGCAACACGUGUGGGGCCCUUCUCCCCAAGGCUCACUCUAGGACUCCCGGGAAAGACAGCUUGGGUGAACCUGGGUGUGGCAGGUAUUACAGGAAGGAAAAUGGGCUGUAUGGGUGAUAGAUAGGAGUGUAGGGGGAAGGGAUAGCAGGCGGAGCGGGGAAGGGAUGGCGCAGGUGGAGCACGGGCCCCUGCAGAACCAUGAGGCCACUAGGUUUCAGAGCCCUCAGGGUCCUACUGUCCCAGAAAGCCUGCGGGUCCAGCACCGGGCUUCUGUGUCUUAGGGCAGCUUUUGGAGGUGCUUCCUUUGUCUGCUAACUUACCUUUACCUUCCUACAUUUUGUUUGAAGUCAGAGAAAAUUGCCCAUUUGGGGGCAACAAUGAAGCAUUCAUCACUCUCCGGAGCUAAGCCAUCUCGAGUAGCCCUCAAUCAAACUCUGCUAUUUUUACCUCAGAGCACAGAGGCCACAGCGGAUAAAGGACCCUUAAGGUAGCUCAUCUAAUUUGUGAUGGGGCCCAGGGUUGUAAUACAUCGUCUUCACGGCCGUCUUCAGGGCCAUGAGCCCUGAGCAGGGCUGGUUUCCCAUGCGUGUCUGCUUGGGAUGGGGAGUUUCAUCAGGAAAACCAAGCACAUAUUAGAACAGGAACAGCAGCUUGGCAGUCAGGGCCCGGACCAAGAAUGCAAAGGGGCUGGAGGAUCCAGGCUCAAUAGUAGCUCAAAAAGGAAGAUACACACAAAGCUGACACACAGAGUGAGCCACCGCCGGCACUGAGGUCACGGUACACAGUGAGCCACGCCUGGCCAGGACACGGACACAUGGGACACUACCCUCCCUUCGCCCCGCAUGCACCACCUGGUCCCGUGCUUCCCCUGGAGCCGCCUCCUUUCCCAUCCUCUGCACUCCCUGGUCCACUCAAGUCUCUGCUCUCUCACACUUCCUCCUGAA
ensembl:lncRNA novel transcript